rnacentral:rRNA from 1 species
UGGGGGAUAUUGCACAAUGGGCGAAAGCCUGAUGCAGCGACGCCGCGUGGGGGAUGAAGGCUUUCGGGUUGUAAACCUCUUUCGCUAUCGAACAAGGCCCGCUUAGGGUGGGUUGAGGGUAGGUGGAGAAGAAGCGCCGGCUAACUACGUGCCAGCAGCCGCGGUAAUACGUAGGGCGCGAGCGUUGUCCGGUAUUAUUGGGCGUAAAGGGCUUGUAGGCGGCUUGUUGCGCCUGCUGUGAAAACGCGGGGCUUAACUUCGCGCGUGCAGUGGGUAAGGGCAGGCUUGAGUGUGGGAGGGGUGACUGGAAUUCCAGGUGUAGCGGUGGAAUGCGCAGAUAUCUGGAGGAACACCGAUGGCGAAGGCAGGUCACUGGGCCAUUACUGACGCUGAGGAGCGAAAGCAUGGGUAGCGAACAGG